CCACGCCGUAAACGAUGAAUACUAGGUGUCGGGGGGUACCACCCUCGGUGCCGCAGCAAACGCAUUAAGUAUUCCGCCUGGGGAGUACGGUCGCAAGAUUAAAACUCAAAGGAAUUGACGGGGACCCGCACAAGCAGCGGAGCAUGUGGUUUAAUUCGAAGCAACGCGAAGAACCUUACCUAGACUUGACAUCUCCUGAAUUACUCUUAAUCGAGGAAGUCCCUUCGGGGACAGGAAGACAGGUGGUGCAUGGUUGUCGUCAGCUCGUGUCGUGAGAUGUUGGGUUAAGUCCCGCAACGAGCGCAACCCUUAUUGUUAGUUGCUACUAUUAAGUUAAGCACUCUAACGAGACUGCCGCGGUUAACGUGGAGGAAGGUGGGGAUGACGUCAAAUCAUCAUGCCCCUUAUGUCUAGGGCUACACACGUGCUACAAUGGCUGGUACAACGAGCAGCAAACCCGUGAGGGGGAGCAAAACUUGAAAGCCAGUCCCAGUUCGGAUUGUAGGCUGAAACUCGCCUACAUGAAGUUGGAGUUGCUAGUAAUCGCGAAUCAGCAUGUCGCGGGGAAUACGUUCCCGGGUCUUGUACACACCGCCCGUCACACCAUGAGAGCCGGUAACACCCGAAGCCCGUGAGGUAACCGUAAGGAGCCAGCGGUCGAAGGUGGGAUUGGUGAUUGGGGUGAAGUCGUAACAAGGUAGCCGUAGGAGAACCUGCGGCUGGAUCACCUCCUUUCUA
rnacentral:rRNA from 1 species